rnacentral:rRNA from 1 species
UACGAAGGGGGCUAGCGUUGUUCGGAAUUACUGGGCGUAAAGCGCACGUAGGCGGACAUUUAAGUCAGGGGUGAAAUCCCGGGGCUCAACCCCGGAACUGCCUUUGAUACUGGGUGUCUUGAGUGUGGUAGAGGUGAGUGGAAUUGCGAGUGUAGAGGUGAAAUUCGUAGAUAUUCGCAGGAACACCAGUGGCGAAGGCGGCGACCUGGACGGACACUGACGCUGAGACGCGAAAGCGUGGGGAGCAAACAGG